GAUCGUAAGACCUGGCGCUUCAUGAUGAGCCCGCGGCCUAUCAGCUAGUCGGUGAGGUAACGGCUCACCAAGGCGAAGACGGGUAGCUGGUCUGAGAGGACGACCAGCCACACUGGAACUGAGACACGGUCCAGACACCUACGGGUGGCAGCAGUCGAGAAUUUUUCACAAUGGGCGCAAGCCUGAUGGAGCGACGCCGCGUGGGGGAUGAAUGGCUUCGGCCCGUAAACCCCUGUCAUUUGCGAUCAAACCUUAUUAUUUAAAAGAUGAUAAGUUGAUAGUAGCGGAAAAGGAAGGGACGGCUAACUCUGUGCCAGCAGCCGCGGUAAUACAGAGGUCCCGAGCGUUGUUCGGAUUCACUGGGCGUAAAGGGUGCGUAGGUGGUGAGGCAAGUCGGAUGUGAAAUCUCGGAGCUUAACUCCGAAACGGCAUUGGAAACUGCCUUGCUUGAGGUUUGGAGGGGGGACUGGAAUGCUUGGUGUAGCAGUGAAAUGCGUAGAUAUCAAGCGGAACACCAGUGGCGAAGGCGAGUCCCUGGACAACACCUGACACUGAGGCACGAAAGCUAGGGGAGCAAACAGGAUUAGAU
rnacentral:rRNA from 1 species